CGCAGUGCGGUGUUGGCACCGCCGGGACAGAGCGCGGUGCUCCGCGACCUCCGCGUCGGCUCCGCGCUGCUGCGCCGCGCUGGGCUGAAAGGAGCGGGCGUCGCUUUAAGACAAACGGAAAAGCGGAAGAGAAAACCGGUUUUGCUCAAUUGAUACCGUUUGCUUUCUUCUUUCUUUUUUUUUAACCCCGCUUAUAUAUAUAUAUAUAUAAUAAUUAGGAUUAUUUUCGAGAACCAUUUGUUUCAAAGCCCGCUUGAGCCAAUAGCAGCCGGCGAGGUGGGGCGCGGACCUUUCCUCUGUCGACCCCCCCGAGCUGUUUGCAAACGGAGCUCUCGGUGUCUGCGCAUCUCCCCGCCGCUGAGCGGAGGGUCACGGCCCUGCCCCCGCUCCGUGCCACCGGCACCUCCCGAAGAAAAGAACGGCAAUUAACAACAACAAAAAAAUAACAAAACCAAAACGAGAACCUCUCUCCGUAAGCCCCAUUACGAGAAAUGAAAGGCAGGAAAGGUCCCCGCGCGGUGACCGAGCGGCGCGUUCCCACGCGUCACGCACGGCUCGCUGACAGCCCGAGCAAAAUCGCGGCGUCACAGCGGUACACUCAACGUGAAGAUUUCGACGGGGAUGGUAACGAGAACGAUAAGCAUCGUCAUAAAUAGCGACGGUCCGAAUAAAUCCACAUCUUCCCGGCCGUGCCCUCCCGCAGCCUCGGCGCCGUCCGCGGCUCAGUGCUACGCGGGGCCGAAGGGAGAGACUUUUUUUCCUUUCCUUUCCUUUUUUUUUUUUUUUUUUUAAUCUUUAUAUUUUAAUACAAGAAACGAACGCAGCGAGCCCAGGAUUUUGUUAUUAUUUCUAUUCCUCUUUUUUCUGUUUUUUUCCCUCCCCAUCGAAUGCGUCGCUGCUCGAGGACGAGCGGUCAGAACGCCGCGGACGGCCGCACGGUGCAGCAGGUUGCGGGGAGCGGCCCCGACGACCGACGCGAGGAGCAGAAGAGCGCUCCCAAAUGAGGCUCCCGUCAAUGGGAAAACUUAGCGCUCCUAAUGAAGUUUCUGGUGAAAGGAGCGCGACACAAAGCCACCGCGGCAUGAAUCAUUCAUGGGAAAUAUAAAAGAUAAAAGCCGUCGGACAAUGGGCAGCGCCCCGCAUGGAGCGCGCAACGCGUUUCCCUUCCCCGCGUCCCCACGUCCCCGUGUCUGUCCUGCACCGACCCGCGCCGUCCCCGGCCCCGCACCCAAAGGCGCUCGGCUCCCCCCUCCCCGGCACGUUGGGAG
ensembl:lncRNA